rnacentral:lncRNA from 1 species
GAAAUUAUUACUAAGCAAGAGAAAAAUAAAUCAUAAUAUAAUAUGGGAUAUAAGUAUAACUGUAGCCAUAUGCCCGUAUAAAACAAUUAAAACAUUUUGUUUUUCAUGUCUAUGGACUUAAAACGGUGUGGCCGCGUAUUACAUUAUCAAGUUAUUGGACAAAGCGAACAUUUUUUUAUAGACAUAAAUCGAGAAAAAAACUAAAGUAAUCGAAAAUGUCAUAUGCAUAUGAAUACCAGAAUACCUCGACAUGAAUCUAAAUAUUUUGAAAAUGUUAUGGUUUUAAAUUCUAAUAAAUACAAUCAGUGAAAAUUGCAUGUAUAACUACAGUAGUUUAUUUUAGAGUAGGUAAAACGAAAAACCAAAACCGAACUCAAGUACUUAAAAAUUCGCGUUUUCUUAAAUUUUUUUUUGUUAUUCCCAGCGCUUUUGUAGAGUAACUAGGUACUGUUCAUUUCGACAUCCCCUAUGCACCUACUAGAUUCACUUACCGGAAAAGAUGAAAAGCGGAGCAUUGUUUCGAAUACUUAUCGUGUACACUGACACAAAUAAUAAAAAUUUAUUAAGCAGAACGUACAUUUUGUCAUUAGUAUCGAUAUAGGUCGAUUCACUCUAAUUUUUAAACUAAUUAUGCUAAAUGUGAUCGUAAAUUUGCUAUAUAUAAGACGGACACAAUAAAAUGCCCGUGUUACGUGUUAAAUCGUGGAGCUGCAUCGUUCACGAAUUUUCAAAAUUUUAAUGCCCGCGAUUCUGUCUUAUCACUAUGUACCAUUAAAUAGUAAUAACUGUUAUCAAAUAAAUAACAACAUAAUAUUAUUAUUUUUUCGUAUGCCGACUUUAAAUUUGAAUCACUCACGAAUCUCGAUUAUUUGAAAUUUGAACAAAAAUAAAGACUACAGAACACUCGUAAAGAGUUCUAUUCAUACAUUUUAAUACAAAACCACCAUGGACAAGUGUAUUCUUUUCAGUAAAACAUUCAAUGUAUCGCCUCGCCACAACAAGUCAAUCAUCUUCAUUAGCAACAUUGGUACUACUCUGCGCACGACUAGUAAAUCGCAUCUAAGAGAAAAUUUUGUUUCUCCAACGAUGGGUUAGAAGUAAAUGAACAGACGAAUAAAGGAUUUGGAGGCCAUGAUUUUAAUUCACCCAUAAAAGCCUUAGACACCCAAUAAUGUCUAAUUCACACACACUUGUUUCAUACAGUGGAUUAUGCUUAUUAUGG